CAAAUUAGAGCUUGUGAAGUAUUUCAUUUACAUUGAAAAGAAAUUGAUAUUUAAUUAAUUAAUUUGA
rnacentral:tRNA from 1 species